rnacentral:snRNA from 1 species
GAAUUUGAGGGCAAUCUGGCUGUGACAUCUGUCACCCCAUUGAUAACCAGGCUUGAUUCGGUUGAUCAAGCUGCAUAGGCAGAUCUGCCCUUCCUUCCUCACUUUUUGAUGUCUUGUCUAUCCCUCCUAAAGCAGUGCAUUUUGGUAAAAGAGGACAGCUAUGGCAGACAGGAGUACACCAUUUAUUGCUGAAGAAUAUCCU